AUCAUGCCGAAUAAACCAGUUAAACCAGUAACCAUAUAAAAAAAAAAAAAAAAAUCAGGGAUCUGUUUUCAAAUAUACGAACCAAGUCCCUCACAACUUGAGAAUCUCUUUACUUUGAAUUUAAAGGUCUUUAAUUUAAAAAAAAGAUUAUGGUGGAAUUUGGAUGAAUUUCAUCCCGCAAGGUCUUGCAAAUAUAAAACAGCUGGAGGCUUGCACCUGUUACAGUUUUGUCUUGCUGACACUGUUUUAUGGAG